UUUCCAGAGAUGGAUUGGUGCCUUCGGGAACUGUGAGACAGGUGCUGCAUGGCUGUCGUCAGCUCGUGUUGUGAAAUGUUGGGUUAAGUCCCGCAACGAGCGCAACCCUUAUCCUUUGUUGCCAGCGAUUAGGUCGGGAACUCAAAGGAGACUGCCAGUGAUAAACUGGAGGAAGGUGGGGAUGACGUCAAGUCAUCAUGGCCCUUACGACCAGGGCUACACACGUGCUACAAUGGCGCAUACAAAGAGAAGCGACCUCGCGAGAGCAAGCGGACCUCAUAAAGUGCGUCGUAGUCCGGAUUGGAGUCUGCAACUCGACUCCAUGAAGUCGGAAUCGCUAGUAAUCGUGGAUCAGAAUGCCACGGUGAAUACGUUCCCGGGCCUUGUACACACCGCCCGUCACACCAUGGGAGUGGGUUGCAAAAGAAGUAGGUAGCUUAACCUUCGGGAGGGCGCUUACCACUUUGUGAUUCAUGACUGGGGUGAAGUCGUAACAAGGUAACCGUAGGGGAACCUGCGGUUGG
rnacentral:rRNA from 1 species